UAUAUACAUUUUAUUGUUGGAAGUAGGGAUGUUAAUGGUACGAAUAUCUAAAAUUUUAUUCGAAUUCGAAUCCGAAUCCGAAUGAGGCGGAUUUACACUAACCGGUAUAAUUUUCAGUACGGAUAUGAAAAUAAAAAUUUCAAAUUGAAUUGGGUUCGGAUAUAAAUUUUAUCUAUAUUUGAUCCGAAUUAAAAUAUGAUCCGAACACGAAUAGAUGUUAUAUUAUUAUAUAUAAUAUUUAUAAUAAAUAUUUGAUAUGAUAUUUGAAAAAUUCAGAGAAGUGGUUGUUUUAAGCUCAGAUUGGAUUUCGACUUUUCGUUUAGUUAUUGAGUUUGAAUAUGAAUUUUUAAAAUACGUUGUAUUCGAGUUCGGUGUUUCGGAUUCGGAUUUUGAAAAUUCGCUCGGAAUCUGAACAAUUGGCAAUUCCUAGUUGGAAGAGGUGGAGAGAGAAAAAUGGGGAAGAGAGAGAAA
rnacentral:lncRNA from 1 species